rnacentral:rRNA from 1 species
UACUCCUACGGGAGGCAGCAGUGUGGGAUAUUGCACAAUGGAGGGAACUCUGAUGCAGCGACGCCGCGUGAGUGAAGAAGUACUUCGGUAUGUAAAGCUCUGUCAGCAGGGAAGAUAAUGACGGUACCUGACUAAGAAGCUCCGGCUAAAUACGUGCCAGCAGCCGCGGUAAU